GUUCAGGAUUGUGGAUGUAGAGAUGAGGAUGGGAAACGUUAUCGGGACGGUACUGAAUUCGUCUCGAGAGACUGUUCGGUGGUUAAAUAUUGUACAGUGAUAGGUAAUCAGAUGAAGAUUGUAGUCAAGGAAAGGAGGGGCCCGUGUGGCACUAAUGCCGAGUGUAAAGCUAAUGACGGAAAAUACGCGUGUGUAUGUAAAGCACGGCACACAGGAAAUCCCAGGAAGGGUUGUACGGAAACUUGUGGGAAAUAUCCAAAGUGUCAUCCCAAUGCCGUGUGUGUGAACAAUGAUCACUGUGAGUGUAAGGCUCCUUACCAG